UACGGGGGGGGUAAGCGUUGUUCGGAAUUACUGGGCGUAAAGGGCGCGUAGGCGGUGUGUCAAGUCAGGCGUGAAAGCCCCGGGCUCAACCUGGGAACCGCGCUUGAGACUGGCACGCUCGAGUCCGGGAGAGGAUGGUGGAAUUCCCAGUGUAGAGGUGAAAUUCGUAGAUAUUGGGAAGAACACCGAUGGCGAAGGCAGCCAUCUGGACCGGCACUGACGCUGAGGCGCGAAAGCGUGGGGAGCAAACAGG
rnacentral:rRNA from 1 species